AUCGCAGGCCUUCUCAACCAGGCUCCCAACAUCUCGACCACAUCUCAGCGAAGGACUUACCCUUUCUCCAGCACAGAGGGGAAAGAGAUCUCAAUAAGAAGAGGCUUGCAGAGGCAAAAACUUCAUCGCCACAGAUCGCGUAGGGAUUCUUGUGGGUUAAUUAGCCUCGAUCAUUGGAGGACCGGAGAAGAAACAACAGCAAGUGACUCAGAUGUAGGAAGGAGAUUGUAUCUUGUCUCCUAUGGUAGAUCAUCCCUCUUCUCUCCUUCAGCGGAUCAUCAUCCAAUGCAAAGGUCUCUACAAGUACUUGAAGGUCCAAAUCAUCUCCUAGUCUUAAUGGUCUGUGAUAGAAUAGAGAACGAAGAGUAAAGGAAAAAAAAAAAAACUUCAAUUAGUGUCAUAUGAUGUCUAUUUAUACAUGAUGAAAGAGAAGAUUUUUUUUCAA